CAAGGAAACUGUCUCACGUAUUGUGUCUGAUGUUUUGAAUUCAUUAUGUGACAAACGGGAUGAGUUUAUCAAGUGGCCGAGAAAUGUUGAUGAAACAAGAGGAGACUUUUACCGUCUAAGUGGUUUCCCAAAUGUGCUAGGGGCAAUAGAUGGGACACACAUCCGUAUCCAGGCUCCAUCAGAGGAUGAACCAUCAUUCGUGAAUAGGAAAGGGGUACAUUCUGUCAAUGUGCAGGCUGUUUGUGAUGCCAGAGGUAAAUUCACAAACAUAAAUGCAAACUGGCCAGGUAGCAGUCAUGAUUCCCACAUAUUCAGGACUUCACAAGUGUGUACCUACAUGGAACAAAAUGGUGGAUGGGCAAAUGGUGUACUGCUUGGGGAUAGUGGUUAUCCUUGUCGUCCAUUUUUGAU